rnacentral:rRNA from 1 species
AGUGAACGCUGGCGGUAGGCCUAACACAUGCAAGUCGAACGGCAGCACAGUAAGAGCUUGCUCUUACGGGUGGCGAGUGGCGGACGGGUGAGGAAUACAUCGGAAUCUACUUUUUCGUGGGGGAUAACGUAGGGAAACUUACGCUAAUACCGCAUACGACCUACGGGUGAAGGCAGGGGAUCUUCGGACCUUGCGCGAUUGAAUGAGCCGAUGUCGGAUUAGCUAGUUGGCGGGGUAAAGGCCCACCAAGGCGACGAUCCGUAGCUGGUCUGAGAGGAUGAUCAGCCACACUGGAACUGAGACACGGUCCAGACUCCUACGGGAGGCAGCAGUGGGGAAUAUUGGACAAUGGGCGCAAGCCUGAUCCAGCCAUACCGCGUGGGUGAAGAAGGCCUUCGGGUUGUAAAGCCCUUUUGUUGGGAAAGAAAAGCAGCAGGUUAAUACCCCGCUGUUCUGACGGUACCCAAAGAAUAAGCACCGGCUAACUGCGU